GCUUUCGGCCAUACCACCUUAGGCACGCCCGAUCUCGUCUGAUCUCGGAAGCUAAGCAGGGUCGGGCCUGGUUAGUACUUGGAUGGGUGACCGCCUGGGAAUACCAGGUGCUGUAAGCA
ensembl:rRNA 5S_rRNA 5S ribosomal RNA